UCAAAGACUGGCAAAUCCCCAAAGAUCAGCUCUACCCCCUGGGGUUUGUCAAAAUCAAUCCCAUCCUUCUGGGUCUUAGGAGAUGUGAUCCUUGCCCUCUGCCUGUCUGCACUUCAGAGUUCUGACCGUUAGUCAACUCUGCUGUCAGCAUUAACUUUUGUUCAAGUUCAAAUCUGGAAAUAUCUUCCCUUUAUUCUCUGUGUUCCUUUUCUCAACCCACUGCAACACUCCCCAGUCAAAGAAAGCCUUUGCAGAGCUCAAAGUAAAAUGCUGUUUCAGAAUGGUCACCACGCCAGGGUGUAGCCUGCAUUCAGCAGAAUAGAAGCGGAACGUGGCCUUUGGCUUGUAUAAUUGUCGUGUCUAAAAAUAGCAGAGACGCCCCUUACUGUACUGGUGACACACAGACUCACGAGGGAUGAAUAAUCAUCUUGACAGUCAUUGGGGGUGGGUAAGCAAUAGAGAACAAUGAGUAAAAACUUGAUCUCAAAAUAUAAAAAUGAGUAGCACAAACUUCAAAGGAUGUUUUCAUUGUAAACUAGGGUUUUCAUUCCUUGAUCCACUCCUCUGCCCCUUUAUUCUUUAUCUCUAAAACCUGAGUUUGCCCUCAUUCACGUCUUCUGUUGAACAGGCUGCUGGAGGGGAACACUCAUACUCCACGGGGUUCUCUUGAAGGGGCCUGACUGCCAGACUAGAAGACGAACACUGUCAAUCAGUACGCCCAGGUCUCCAAAGAUGGAAGAGUUGUGAACCCACACCCGUCUGACCAUGUGAAGGUAGAAAAGAACCAAGAGCCCAGUGUGACUGCCAAAGACAAAGAAAGAACAACAGAGAAAGAAAACCUAGGGAAGAGUGGAGUAGAGACGUGGUGCUGUUUCCAGCAUCUCAGCCCAGGGUUCACACUUCCAGCUCUUCAGCAGAAAAGAAAAGUACAGCUGCACUGUGGACUCACAAGGAAGAUAGAGGAUUUCAUCUUGAAAGACAGAAAAUGAUCUCUCUCUGAGAAUCUGAAAGAAGGUGGGCUCACACUGGAACAUGCCUGAGAACUGCACGGGGCAGGAGAAGACAGCAGCAGUCCCUGGAAGGAAUGCGUGGGCAGAAGGGUUAUAGGAACUUUCAAGGCUUUUAUAAAAGGAUCGGAGAGAAAAGAAACAUAGGAGGCCCAUUAGUAAAUCAGAAGAAAGAUGGAUUUAAUGAUGCACAUGACAUUAUUGAGAUCAUGAACCGCAUCAUUAAAUUCAUCUUUUAAAAAGAAGAAAGAAAAUAUAUCCCCAGGAGUCUUUUUGUGUGGAGAGGAGGGGCAGGGAGGGUAGAAAUCUGAAUCUUUUAGAAAAUGGUCACUUGUAAACAAGCAAA